rnacentral:rRNA from 1 species
GUGGGGAAUUUUGGACAAUGGGGGCAACCCUGAUCCAGCGACGCCGCGUGGAGGAUGAAGGUCUUCGGAUUGUAAACUCCUUUUAGAGGGGAUGAAUGUCUGCGUGAAGAACGCAGGAUGACAGUACCCUCGGAAUAAGCCACGGCUAACUUCGUGCCAGCAGCCGCGGUAAUACGAAGGUGGCAAGCGUUACUCGGAAUUACUAGGCGUAAAGCGCAGGUAGGCGGUUCGGUAAGUCUUUUGUGAAAGCUCCUGGCUUAACUGGGAGAGGUCAAGGGAAACUACCGGGCUCGAGUGUGGUAGGGGAAGCUGGAAUUCCCGGUGUAGCGGUGAAAUGCGUAGAGAUCGGGAGGAAUACCAAUGGCGAAAGCAGGCUUCUGGGCCAUCACUGACGCUGAGCUGCGAAAGCUAGGGGAGCAAACAGGAUUAGAUACCCUUGUAGUCC